rnacentral:rRNA from 1 species
CCUACGGGAGGCAGCAGUGGGGGAUAUUGCACAAUGGGGGAAACCCUGAUGCAGCGACGCCGCGUGGGUGAAGAAGUAUUUCGGUAUGUACAGCCCUAUCAGCAGGGAAGAAAGAAGACGGUACCUGUCUAAGAAGCCCCGGCUAACUACGUGCCAGCAGCCGCGGUAAUACGUAGGGGGCGAGCGUUAUCCGGAUUCACUGGGUGUAAAGGGAGCGUAGACGGCCGUGCAAGCCAGGAGUGAAAGCCCGGGGCCCAACCCCGGGACUGCUCUUGGAACUGUGCGGCUGGAGUGCGGGAGGGGCAGGCGGAAUUCCUGGUGUAGCGGUGAAAUGCGUAGAUAUCAGGAGGAACACCGGCGGCGAAGGCGGCCUGCUGGACCGCGACUGACGUUGAGGCUCGAAAGCGUGGAGAGCGAACAGGAUUAGAUACCCCUGUAGUC